ensembl:lincRNA
GGGGAUCAAACGCGGGUCCUUGAACUUGUGAGGCAGGCACUGGAACCACUGAGCUAAACCCCUGGCCCUUGCACUGAAUUUUGUGUGGAAACCUUUAUAUGAGGAAUUAGAUUCUGUCUCUUUCCACUGAGAAAGAACAUCUCUUUAAACCUCAAUUUCCCUGACUGUCAACAUGAAAGUUGAUGGGUAUAAAAUACCUAGCUGCCACAUAAUAUCUCCUCAAGAAAUCAUAACUGUUAAAAUCACAACUAGAACUUUUUCGUGGUGCUGAGGGCACAAUCCUGGGCCUUAUACACACUACAUAAAUACCAUAAGCCAUAUCCCCAGCACCCUUUUUUGUUUCUUUAUCUUGUCUGUGUGUGUGUCUGUUUUGGGUUUUGCUUUUUCCUUUCCCUAGCCCUAUUUUGGAAUUUUAUUCUUAGAUCAGGUCUCACUAAUUUGCUCAGGCUGACCUCAAACUUGCAGCCUCUUGAAUAACUGGAAUUACAGGCAUUUGUUACCAUGCCUGAUGAAUUUGUUGAUGUCAUUGUUUGUUUUGCUUUGUUUUGGCAGUACCAAGGACUGAACCCAGGGCCAUCUCACUGAGGUAUGUCCCCAGCCCUUUUUAUUUUUUCUUUUGAGAUAAGGUCCCCCUAAACCACUAACUUGCCCUGGCUUGAAAUCGUUAGCCUCAGAGUGCUGGGGUUACAGGCGUGAGCCACCAUGACCUGCCAGGGGUAUAUUUGUUUGUUUGUUUGUCUGUUUAAUUUAAUGUGAUUAUCUAAUACAACUGAAACUUACUGCACUGAAACCUGACAGAUUUCUCUGGGUGUUUUGCUUUGAAGAUUUUGGCUGAUGUGGGCUUAAAGAAAAAGAGAAAAAAUAGACAGCUGGGAAUGAAUGUUUAGAGAACCAUUUAAGGAGGCUCAGAGAGGCAAACGGAAAAUGCAAAAUGAGAAGAUUCCAAGAAUAAACCUGACAACAGGAGAUGAAGUCUGAAGGCCUUUCCCUCACCCAUCAGUCCCUGGAGGUUGCUCUCUGUGCCUGGAUGGGCUGGCUCAGAGCCCAUCCCCAAAGCUGCGAGCCCUUAUGGAGAUGCUGUCUCAUGGGGGCCAGGGGGCCCGCGGCAAGGUUUUACGUGUAUUACAGGCAUGAAGGUGCUACCUGCGUGAGGAGAGUUAACGCCUUGGUGAGAGGCUGUUCUGGAGAAAUGAAGGCACAGAGGGAAACCUACUGCCGUCGGCUGAGACAGAAGCAAGAAAUAUUCCAACCCUUUUCUUUCCAACCUCCAACCUGCUCAUGCCUCUGACUGAUGAUACUGGACCUGGAUGAUACGGUUUCCCUAGAGCAGUCUCCUGGGGUGCAGAGCAGGGUCAAAAAGAGUGGAAAAAGAACUGGGGACCACAGGGAGAAGCAUCCACACAGCAGGCAUUCCUAACUGACAUUGAUGAAGUCGCAUACAGUUUGUUUACCACUAAAAAUUAUUUUAUUUUUAAUCAGCAUGUAAUGAUUGUACAUAUUAUGGAGUACAGUGGUGUAUUUUAUUUUUGAGCAUUGUAAUGCUGAGGAUAAACCCAGGGCCUCUCAAAUGUUAGUAGUCAGAUGCUGAGCCACACCCUCGUCCCUGUAGUGAUGUUUUGAUACAAGUGUGAGUUGGGUAAUGACCAAAUUAUGGCAAUUAGCAUAUUUUUCAUCUCAUUAAAUAUAUGUCAUUUCUUUGUGACGAGAACAAAAUCCUCCCCUCUGGCUACUUUUCUCUACUUUUUUGAGACAGGGUCUUGCUGUCUAGCUCAGGCUAGCCUCACACUCAUGGCAAUCCUUCUGCUUCAGCCUCCCAAGUGCUGGGACUACAGGCAUGUGCCACCACACCCAGCUCCCUUUGGCUAUUUUGAAAUAAACGUUAUUGUUCAGCUCUUUAGUCAACCUACUGUGCAAUAAGACACUAGAAAUUAUUCCUCCCAUCUGUGCCUUAGAACCCACGGAUGAAUCUCGAGCCCACCCUCUCCCCCAGCUUCUG